UGUUCGGGUCGAGGCGACGGCGGCGGUUCCUGUCGCCGACGUCGCGAGAAGUUCAUUGAACCUUAUCAUUUAGAGGAAGGAGAAGUCGUAACAAGGUUACCGUAGGUGAACCUGCGGUAGGAUCAUUG
rnacentral:rRNA from 1 species